GCUACUGAAUCAAUUAAAAAAUUGAUAACAUAAGGGAAAAUAAUGAUAUUACCUUAUUAUUAGUGUCGUCCAAAACUGGUGCCAGAAGACUCGGUAAGGCCAGAGACAUAAACGUUAAUCGUCUUAAUCAGGCGUAAAGGGUUUGUAGGCGGCUUUUAAUUUUACUUAUUUAUUCUGUUUUCGUUAUUUUUUUAAUUAAAAUUUAUAAGUAAAGAAUAAAAGCUAGAAUCAAAUAGAGGAUAUAUUAAAUAAUGCUUAGAGUAGGUCUGAUAUCCAUAGAUACUAAGUAGAAUAUUAAAGGCGAAGGCUUUUUUCCAUUAAUGAUUGACGCUCAGAAACGAAGGUGAGGAUAGGAAAUAGGAUUAGAUACCCAAAAUACCCCUCUCUGUCAACGAUGAAUGGUAGUUAUUAGUAAUAAAUUAAUUAAUGACAAUGUUAACACGAUAACCAUUCCGCCUUGUGAGUACAACUGCAAAGUUGAAAACAAAAAAAUUAGUCGGUUUCGGAGCAAACGAAGUGAAGCAUGUUAUUUAAUUCAAUAAUCCCGCAAA
rnacentral:rRNA from 1 species